AUUGAACGCUGGCGGCAGGCCUAACACAUGCAAGUCGAACGGUAACAGGAAGCAGCUUGCUGCUUCGCUGACGAGUGGCGGACGGGUGAGUAAUGUCUGGGAAACUGCCUGAUGGAGGGGGAUAACUACUGGAAACGGUAGCUAAUACCGCAUAACGUCGCAAGACCAAAGAGGGGGACCUUAGGGCCUCUUGCCAUCGGAUGUGCCCAGAUGGGAUUAGCUAGUAGGUGGGGUAACGGCUCACCUAGGCGACGAUCCCUAGCUGGUCUGAGAGGAUGACCAGCCACACUGGAACUGAGACACGGUCCAGACUCUUACGGGAGGCAGCAGUGGGGAAUAUUGCACAAUGGGCGCAAGCCUGAUGCAGCCAUGCCGCGUGUAUGAAGAAGGCCUUCGGGUUGUAAAGUACUUUCAGCGGGGAGGAAGGGAGUAAAGUUAAUACCUUUGCUCAUUGACGUUACCCGCAGAAGAAGCACCGGCUAACUCCGUG
rnacentral:rRNA from 1 species